UACGAAGGGGGGCUAGCGUUGUUCGGAAUCACUGGGCUUAAAGGGCGCGUAGGCGGUCGAUCAAGUCAGGGGUGAAAUCCUGCAGCUUAACUGUAGAAGUGCCUUUGAUACUGGUCGUCUCGAGGGAGGUAGGGGUGUGUGGAACUUCCAGUGGAGCGGUGAAAUGCGUUGAUAUUGGAAGGAACGCCGGAGGCGAAAAGCGACGCACUGGACCUCUUCUGACGCUGAGGCGCGAAAGCUAGGGGAGCAAACGGG
rnacentral:rRNA from 1 species